GGGAGGUGUCACCCCAAGGGCAGUCACCGUAGAAGAGGCCUGAGUCAGCCCCUCUGACCAAACACCCUUGCUGGAGGGCUGGGGCCCAAGAGCCAGCACCGUGGAACGAGGAAUAGGAAGAUGCCUGCUGAGUGGGAGAAGAGAUGGACACCACGUGAUCCUUCCGCCUCACUCUCCACGUUUCUCUGGUAAAAGUGCCCCGGUGAACCUGUGAGUACUGAGCACCUCAGGUUAGAAUCCUGGAUGUCACCUGAGACUCUGCAUGACCUUGGGCAAAUGACUGACCUUCUUUGAGCCUCAGGUUGCUCAUCUGUAAAAUGGGGAUGGAGUUGUUGAGAGCAUUACAUGAGAUCCACUCCA